AUGCUCAGGGCUAUGCCCAACUAUUGCAAAAGCUCGGGGCUCACCAGCAUUGCUGCUGUCCUGCGGGUGCUGCGUGCAGGCAGCCAAGAGCUGGGCGGUUCAGCAAAGCAAACACAGAAUUGUAUGAAGCUUCAGGCACGUGCAGGGUGGGACAGAGAGAACGGAAAAGAGGUUUUCCAAACAACUCUGCUGAAACGCCAGCCUGCCCACGUGUACCACCACUGUUUACACAGCGACGCCUUUUGGAUCGGAGCAGUGUGGCUUACAAACAGCCCAGUUCUGGCAGCCCUGCCUGGAAAAUUCACUCAGGCACAGGCAACGUCCCAGCCAGCGUUUCAGGCAUUCCCUCACUUUCUAUGCAUUUCUCUCUUAUCUCACGUCCUGCAAGCAGCAAGCCUCAAGCAGCAGCACAGCUGCCCUUAUCACCCGCUACGAAACAUUGUUCCCAGGCACAGAAAUCUUCCAGGCCAACCAGUGCUGCCUUGGCCAGGAGCUGACGGCGCUCACCGGGCGGUCAGUUUCCGCAUAGGGAAGCUCAUGGCCAGAGACAUCCCAGGCUUUUGCUUCCUGCCACCGAACGCUGCAUGGGCAGCUUGCCAGGCCUGGGCUGGAUGUGCCUGCUCGCCAGCCAGCGUUCACCACGUGUUUGCUGGCCAUGAGCUUGAGCAAGGCUUUUCCCUUAGUGACAGAAGCAGCCAGAAACGGGACCAGCUUAGAACUGGAAAAAAAAAUACAGAAAAGAAAGCUCUGCUGGCCCAGGAGCCACCAACCUGGGAAUGCAGCAUGGCCUUGAGGAGCAUUCUUGAGCUGUUCACAGGAGAAACUCAGACACCUGGAGAGAUUCUCGGGAAGCACAGAACAAAGAAACUACAAAAAAGGUCCUACUGCCUGGGAAAGCACAAGUCAGAUUGGGAAACUGAAAACCGGCACGGGAAAACCAAAGUCUGCAACAGGAACUGGCCUCUCCACGUGGCAGUGCUUUCCAGCUGGGCCAAAAGAUUGAAAGACAACUCAGCAUCUACCCAAAAGAGAGCAUCUCAGAGAGAGAUGCCCCACAAGAACUUCUCCAUGUGA
rnacentral:lncRNA from 1 species